UAUCACCAAGGAUUGUUUUUCCCACAAAAUUUUUCCUGUGGGAUACGGAAAGGACUCAAAAUCAACCCCCUCUGGUUGAUUGCGAUUCAAAACUAUAAAGGACAAG
rfam:Vibrio vulnificus YJ016 DNA, chromosome I, complete sequence.